UUUGCAUUUUAAAAUUCCAGUUUUCUCACAGCUGAGGCAGAGAAGGAGAAAAAGGAAUUUACCUGUGUAUGAUCCACCUGAGCUAACCGGGAAGAUGAGAGAGACCUUCGAGGCAGGUUCCGAACACAAUCCAUUUCUGGGUUUGCAACUGAGGUGUUGAGAGACGCUACAAAAAAGGACAAAGACCGAAGAGCAUGCAGUUAUAUCAGACUGGAGUGAAUCAGUGAAACAAGACAUUAACCCACUUGAAGACCCUUGAGGCCUCCAGCCUUUCCCCUUGGAUAACCCUGAAAGGCGUCCAAUGGAAGAGUUUAAAAUUUCAGAGAGGGGCUUCCCUGGUGGCGCAGUGGUUAAGAAUCACCUG